rnacentral:lncRNA from 1 species
GGAAAUUUAGAACGGGAUGAUGUAGGGCCGGUCAAAUCUGCCGAGCUGAAGAAUGAAAAGAGAAUCCGCCAUGCUGACGGUCCAUUAACAAACUGAAGGGUACGAAAUCUUCGGCCAUACUAUGGCUGGCCUGAUCAAAUCUUUGGCCAGAGCGCAGAGCCUUGUGUGGUGGUGUAGUUCUGUUCGAUCAGGCUGAUUCAAUUGCUGUUUCUGUUGGAGCAGAAGAUCCCACUGGAUCCACCCACCCACCAGUCCCAGUCCGCGCACGCGAUCUUUCCAUUUGCUGGGAGGGCAGGCUGCAGCUGCACCACCAGGUUACGGUAGAC